rnacentral:rRNA from 1 species
CAGUCGCCACGGUAAAACGUAGGUGGCAAGCGUUGUCCGGAAUUAUUGGGCGUAAAGGGCUCGCAGGCGGUUUCUUAAGUCUGAUGUGAAAGCCACCGGCUCAACCGGGGAGGGUCAUUGGAAACUGGGAAACUUGAGUGCAGAAGAGGAGAGUGGAAUUCCACGUGUAGCGGUGAAAUGCGUAGAGAUGUGGAGGAACACCAGUGGCGAAGGCGACUCUCUGGUCUGUAACUGACGCUGAGGAGCGAAAGCGUGGGGAGCGAACAGGAUUAGAUACCCCAGUAGUCCCUGUCUCUUAUAC